rnacentral:lncRNA from 1 species
CAGGGUACACAACCAGUGCACUAGACCUUCACGGAGAGAGGUGAUCCUCGCACCCCAUCCCCAGACGCCACUGUCAUGCACGCCUGAUCCAUCACAUCUUGGUGUCCACCUUACUUUUUUGGUGCCUGUAUGGUCAGGCCCCGUGUGAUUGAUAGGCCCUUGCCCUCCAGGAGCUUUGCUCUAGCAGGGGAGAUGGGCCCAGCUGUGCUCCCUCUGGAGUCGGUGUAGCUUGUGUGGGGCCUUGAAGGAAGAGGAGUUGACAGGAGAGGAGGCAGGGUGGCCUGGAGGACAGAAGAGGGCAGGCUGCUUGAGUGCUGGUCCCCACACAAGUCGACUGAGGCGGGUCCCAGCCCCUCCAGGGAUGAGUGAGCAAUUGAGCCACAGCCCCUCUGAGAAGCUCUGGACUAGAGUAAAGGUUGUUUGGGGCAGAGGGUGGGUUGGAGCGUGUGCUGGGGACAGUUGAGAAGAGCCUUCGCUGUUCCUGGGAAGCUGUUAGAAGAGCAAAUUAUGCUGAUUCUUAGAGAAAAGUCAGUGGUGCCCAAGUGGUGGGUUGGAGCCAGGCCCAGAGUGGGAUUUGCUGCCCUGGGGCCGAGGAUAUACCACUCCCGUGUCACGGGUAGAGGGGGCGCUCAGAGAGGUGGUCAGCAUGGUAAAAUUCCAGGGGGCAACUUAGAAGGGGAUUGCAGAGGACUGGCUGGGGGCUUCCUGCACUGAGGACGGCCUUGACCGCCUGCUACGCGAGCAUCGGGAGCAAGUGGCCACAGUCAGCCACGUGCUGACUCCUUCCAGGUUUCCACAACAGACUGCCACCCAAGCCCUCAUUUCUGUUACUCCUGUCGCUGCCCCCUCAGGCCUGUCGGCUCUUCCCUUCACAUCUUCUGGCCGCAUCCCUGCCCCACAGGACCACACUACUCCAGCCAGCCUGCCUCCCUCCCCUAUAGAGUCACUACAUAGCGCCUUCCAGGCUUCCUGCUUCUGCCCUGCACCUGGCAGUCUGUCCUUAUACAGCAGCCAGAUCUGUCACUCCCCUGUCCCAACACUCCAGUGGCUAAACAUGUCCUUAAAAGUAAAAGUCUGUGGCCCCACAGCCUCUGGCUUCACCCCUCCUCCCCCAUCCCAAGGCUUGCUCUGCCCCAGCCAGGCCUUCCUGCUGUUCUGAGAAUGCUCAGCAUGUUUCCCCUGCACCCCCCUCGCUCCUUCUGCCUGGGGAGCUCUUCCUCUGGACAUCCCUAAGGCUCCCCCGGAUUCAGCUCAGAGAAGCAUCCCAGUGCCCUAAUGUGUAGGACAACCCCUCCAUCACUCUCCCUCUCGCCCUACCUAACUUUACCACUGGACGUAAUGCAUAUUUAAGUAAAUAUGCAAAUGUACUUAUUCUAACUGUACUAACUGAGGUGUCGCUUCCAUGAGGGGUGGGACUUUGCCUAGAGCAGUACCUGGCAUAUAUGUUUGCAGUAAAUAUUGUUGGUCUUCCAGCUGUGGUGGAGCAACAAAAACUGGCCCAUAGAUGACUAUAUAUAGAGAGAGACAUCGGACAGCAGCCAUUGCAGGAUAGUAACGCCUGAGAGAGGGAACAAACACCAGGAGCCCAGGGCAGCUGCAACACUGGAGUAGAAAUUGCCUCAGUGUUCCCCUAAGGCUCCUGCUGAGGACUGAUGGCUCCUGUAUGUGAGGAAACUGCCUGAGGCUGGGGAAAGAGCCAUUGGAAGAAAGCGGGAAGCAAGUCACAUCCCCAGCACUAAGUGUGGAGAAACAUCAUUCAUGGAGAACAGGGUAGAGGACUCAAAAGGAUAUUGAUGCCAUAUUCAGGCUAGAUUAGCCCUAGACUAGAGACUGCUCUGUGCCUUCCUAACAACUUUAAGUCAAGCCUCAAAAAGACCAAACGGUUGCAAGUGCUUUAAUAGCAUCCAGAACAAAACUCAAAAGUAAGGGGGAAAACAUUUUUUUUUUUUUUUUUUUUAGAACAAACGAGGCCGGGUGUCAGUGGCUCACGCCUGUAAUCCAAGCACUGUGGGAGGCCGAGGCGGGUGGAUCACUUGAGGCUAGGAGUUUGAGAACAGCCUGGCCAACAUGGUGAAACCCCGUCUCUAAAAAUACAAAAAUAAGCCAGGCAUGGUGGCAUGUGCCUGUAAUCCCAGCUACUCGGAGGCCGAGGCAGGAGAAUCACUUGAACCCAGGAGGUGGAGGUAAGUAAGCCAAGAUCUCAAUCUCACCACUGCACUCUAGCCUGGGUGACAGAGUGAGACUCCGUCUCAAAAAAAGAAAAAAAAACAAUCAAACAUGCAAAGAAGCAGGAACUACACCACACAAUGAGAAGAAAAGUUAGUCUGUAGAAACAGACCCAGAAAUGACACAAGGUGGUAGAAUAAUUCUGUCUACUAAGUAGACAAGGACAUCAGAAUGGCCAUUAUUAAGAAGGAUAGAGGAAAACAGGAGCAUGUUAAGAAAAGGAAUGAAAGACAUAAAAAUGGCCCAAACAAUUUCCAGAGACAAAAAUACAAUGUCUGAGAUGGAAAAUACACUGAUGAGAUUAACACCAAAAUAGACAUUGCAGAGCAAAAAAUUAGUGGACUUGAAGCCAUUGCAAUAUAAGCUAUCCAAAAGGGAACAGAAAAAAAAAUGAGGAAAAUGGCAGAGCCCCUCUGAGUUGUGGGACCACUUCAAGCAGCCUACUGUGUGCCUUUAACUGGAGACCCAUGGACGAGAGGCAUAGCAGGGUGGAGACAACUUUUGGAAAAAAUAAUGGUAGGCCGGGCGUGGUGGCUCACGCCUGUAAUCUCAACACUUUGGGAAGCUGAUGCUGGCGGAUCACCAGAGGUCAGGAGUUUGAGACCAGCCUGGCCAACAUGGUGAAACCCCAUCUCUACUAAAAAUACAAAAAUUAGCCAGACAUGGUGGCAGGUGCUUAUAAUCCCAGCUACUUGGGAGGCUAAGGCAGGAGAAUCGCUUGAACCUGGGAGGCGGAGGUUGCAGCAAGCUGAGAUUGUGCCAUUGCACUCCAGCCUGGGCAACAAGAGGGAAACUCCAUCUCUAAAUAAAUAAAUAAAUAAAAUAAUGACUGUAAACCUAAUUUGGUGGAAACAUAAAGCCACAGAUCCAGGAAGCUCAACAAACCCCAAAAGAAACAUGGAGAAAAUUACAUGAAGCACAUCAUCAUGAAAUUCCUCCAGACCAGUGACAAAUAAAAAAAAGCAGCCAGAGAAAAAAGACACUUUGUGUUUACAGGAACAAAGAAUGGCAGCAAGACUUCUCACUAGAAACUGCAAGCAGACAGUGAACAACACCUGUGGGUUGGGCAAAGAACUUGAAUAAACUUAUUUAUUUAUUUUUUUGAGAUGGAGUUUCGCUCUUGUUGCCCAGGCUGGAGUGCGGUGGCGCGAUCUCGCCUCACCACAACCUCCGCCUCCCUGGUUCAAGCAAUUCGCCUGCCUCGGCCUCCCAAAUAGCUGGGAUUUCAGGCAUGCGCCUCCACGCCUGGCUAAUUUUGUAUUUUUAGUGGAGACGGGGUUUCUCUAUGUCGGUUAGGCUGGUCUCAAACUCCCAACCUCAGGUGAUCUGCCUGCCUCAGCCUCCCAAAGUGCUGGGAUUUGUAAUCCCAAGCCCAGCUUGAAUAAACAUUUAUCCAAAUUUAGUUUUGAAAGAAAAGAAUGUCAACCUGGAAUUCUAUACCCAGUGAAAAUAUCUUUCAAAAGUGAAGGUGAAAUAAAGACUUUUCAGACAUACAAAGCUGGAAGAUUUACAAAAAUUGUCAAAAGAAGUUUUUCUGGCAGAAGGAAAAUGACACCAGAUGGAAACUGCAUGACACAAAGAUAUGACGAGCACCUGAAAUGGUCACUGGUAGGCCACUGCACUCCAUCCUGGGUGACAGAGCAAGACACUGUCAAAAAAAUAAAUAAAUAAAAUAAAGACAGGGUCUUGCCAUGUUGCCCAGGCUGGCCUUGAACCCCUAUCAAGUGAUUCUCCCAGCUUAAUCUCCUGAGUAGCUGGGACAACAGGCACUUUUAAAAAUCAGGAAAAACCCUGCCUUUUGUGUCCUCCCANNNNNNNNNNACAAAAAAAAAAAAAAAAAAAAAAGAAAAUAUUGUUAAGGAGCAUACUGAAUGUGUAUAGCUUUUGCAACAUUGUAAAGUUGAAAAAUUAUAAGUUGAACCAUUGUAAGUCAGGGACCAUCUAUACAUAAAGAACUCCUAACAGGCAGCAAUUAAAAAAAAAUCCAAAAAUGGGCAAAGGACUUGAGUAAACAUUUAUCCAAAGAAUAUAUAAAAACAGCACACACAUGAAAAGCUGCUCAACAUCACUGAUUAUCAGGGAAAUGCAAAUCAAAACCACAAUGAGAUACCACCUCACACCCAUCAAGAUAGCUACUAUUUGAAAACAAAACAAGUGUCGGGGAGGAUAUGGAGAAAUUGGAACAUUUGUGCACUGCUGGUGGGAAUGUGAAAUGGUGCAGCCAGUGCAGAAAACAGUAGGCAGUUCCUCAAAACACUAAACAUAAGCCUGGCACAGUGGCUAAUGCCUGUAAUCCUAGUGGUUUGGAAGGCUGAGACAGGAGGAUCACUUGAGCCCAGGAGUUUGAGACCAGCCUGGGCAACAUAGUGAGACUCUGUCUCAAAAAAAUGAAAGGAAAAUAAAAACUAAACACAGAAUUACUGUUUGACCCAGCAAUUCCACUUCUGGGUACAGACACAAAAUAAUUGACAGCAGGGACGUGAACAGGUAUUCUACACAAGUUUGUAGCAGCAUUAUCCCCAGUAGCCAAAAGAUGGAAACAACCCAAAUGUUCAUCACGGGACAAAUGAAUAAACAAAAUGUGGUCUAUAGAUGCAAUAGAAUAGUAUUCAGCCUUAAAAAGAAAUAAAAUUCUGACAUGCUACAACACAAAUUGCCAUCGCCAGGGGCCUGACUC